rnacentral:rRNA from 1 species
UACGAAGGGUGCAAGCGUUACUCGGAAUUACUGGGCGUAAAGCGUGCGUAGGUGGUUUGUUAAGUCUGAUGUGCACGCCCUGGGCUCAACCUGGGAAUUGCAUCCGAGACUGGAAGGCUAGAGUACUGGAGAGGGUGGUGGAAUUCCUCGUGUAGCGGUGAAAUGCGUAGAGAUGAGGAGGAACACCAGUGGCGAAGGCGGCCACCUGGACAGUAACUGACGCUGAGGCGCGAAAGCGUGGGUAGCAAACAGG